rnacentral:tRNA from 1 species
UGCCCCCGUAGCUCAACUGGCAGAGCAAGAGGCUUUUAACCUCGAGGCUGAGAGUUCGAAUCUCUCCGGGGGUAUCCA